UUCAGCAGGAACGAACGGUGGUCCCUAAUACGGGCUACUAAUGACGGUACCUGAAGAAGAAGCACCGGCUAACUACGUGCCAGCAGCCGCGGUAAUACGUAGGGUGCGAGCGUUAAUCGGAAUUACUGGGCGUAAAGCGUGCGCAGGCGGUUAUAUAAGACAGAUGUGAAAUCCCCGGGCUUAACCUGGGAACUGCGUUUGUGACUGUAUAACUCGAGUGUGGCAGAGGGGGUGGAAUUCCACGUGUAGCAGUGAAAUGCGUAGAGAUGUGGAGGAACACCGAUGGCGAAGGCAGCCCCCUGGGUCAACACUGACGCUCAUGCACGAAAGCGUGGGGAGCAAACAGGAUUAGAUACCCUGGUAGUCCACGCCCUAAACGAUGCGAACUAGGUGUUGGGGAAGGAGACUUUCUUAGUACCGCAGCUAACGCGUGAAGUUCGCCGCCUGGGGAGUACGGUCGCAAGAUUAAAAACUCAAAGGAAUUGACGGGGACCCGCACAAGCGGUGGAUGAUGUGGAUUAAUUCGAUGCAAC
rnacentral:rRNA from 1 species